GUGGGGAAUAUUGGACAAUGGGCGCAAGCCUGAUCCAGCCAUGCCGCGUGAGUGAUGAAGGCCCUAGGGUUGUAAAGCUCUUUCACCGGUGAAGAUAAUGACGGUAACCGGAGAAGAAGCCCCGGCUAACUUCGUGCCAGCAGCCGCGGUAAUACGAAGGGGGCUAGCGUUGUUCGGAAUUACUGGGCGUAAAGCGCACGUAGGCGGACAUUUAAGUCAGGGGUGAAAUCCCGGGGCUCAACCCCGGAACUGCCGUUGAUACUGGGUGUCUGGAGUAUGGAAGAGGUAAGUGGAAUUCCGAGUGUAGAGGUGAAAUUCGUAGAUAUUCGGAGGAACACCAGUGGCGAAGGCGGCGUACUGGUCCAUUACUGACGCUGAGGUGCGAAAGCGUGGGGAGCAAACAGGAUUAGAAACCCCAGUAGUCC
rnacentral:rRNA from 1 species